UGGGGAAUAUUGCACAAUGGGCGCAAGCCUGAUGCAGCCAUGCCGCGUGUGUGAAGAAGGCUCUAGGGUUGUAAAGCACUUUCAGUUGGGAGGAAAAGUUGUGUGUUAAUAGCAUACGACCGUGACGUUACCAACAGAAGAAGCACCGGCUAACUCCGUGCCAGCAGCCGCGGUAAUACGGAGGGUGCAAGCGUUAAUCGGAAUUACUGGGCGUAAAGCGCGCGUAGGCGGCUUGUUAAGCCAGAUGUGAAAGCCCCGGGCUCAACCUGGGAACUGCAUUUGGAACUGGCAAGCUAGAGUGUGUGAGAGGUGAGUGGAAUUUCCUGUGUAGCGGUGAAAUGCGUAGAUAUAGGAAGGAACAUCAGUGGCGAAGGCGACUCACUGGCACAACACUGACGCUGAGGUGCGAAAGCGUGGGUAGCAAACGGG
rnacentral:rRNA from 1 species